rnacentral:rRNA from 1 species
GAUGAACGCUAGCGAUAGGCUUAACACAUGCAAGUCGAGGGACCGGCGCACGGGUGCGUAACGCGUAUGCAACUUGCCUCACAGAGGGGGAUAACCCGUCGCAAGACGGACUACUACCGAGUACUGUGAGAUAGGCAUGCGUCACAUUAGCUAGUUGGUGAGGGCACGGCUCACCAAGGCAACGAUGGGGAGGGGAACUGAGAGGUUGAACCCCCACACUGGUACUGAGACACAGACUAGACUCGGACGCGAGGCAGCAGUGAGGAAGAGUGGUGAAGGGGCGAGGGCCUGAACCUGCCAAGUCGAGGGAAGGAUGCUUGGCUAUUGAUGGUAAACUUCUUUUGUAGGGGAAUAUGUACCCUACGAAGAAGCAUCGGCUAACUCCGUGCCAGCAGCCGCGGUAAUAC